rnacentral:lncRNA from 1 species
UUACUACGGGGACUAACCGGGUAAUUAACCCUCUUGAAAAUGAUGGGAGCCAUGCCCUAACUUCCUUCUUCCCACCAGGCAAAUCCCAUCGGCAUCCCCAAACCUUGCCAGCGUUACGAAAUCAAAUCAAGCUUAGUCACAGCGUCGCAACUAGGUCAGGUAAGGUUGAUUCAUGGAUGCAAGAAGGGAAUCAGUGGAGUUAGUUUUUCAAAUGUCUAAUAUUCUUGAGACUGGGUUAGACCGCCACACCCUUUCUGUCCUCAUUGCCCUCUGCGACCUCGGUUUUAACCCCGAGGCACUUGCUGCACUCGUUAAGGAGUUCCGCACUCACCCACCCUCAACACCCACCGUCGUCAAGUAAUUGAUGUAUAUGUUAUUAGCUUUAUUAUGUACGUCUUAUAUCGUUUGAUGAUUUCGGUUGUUUUAUAUUUUGUAGUUAACAUGUGAAAACAUCCUACUAUGAAUGAAUAUUCAUGCAGUUUCUAUGUUUGUGUUUGUUACACACCCACAUUUAUACAUACUUGCUACAUCAUGUCUGCCUAGUACAUAUAUACAAACCCAGAGAGAUGCAUACGUACGUACACUAAGGACACAAACAAA